GCGAUGAUGUCAUCCCGGCUGCUUUAGUAUUUCCAGCAAGCAGCCAUUUCUUGGGAAAUCAAUGUAAACAAUAACGUUAUGAAAUUUCCCGGACAGGAAGUCAUGGGUUUACAGGGAUUUAAUUGGAACUGACGCCAAUAUAGCAAUGCCUUAUGUGCUUUGGGAUCUAACGAAGUUUUGGACGAGUUGGAGAUAGCAAUUAUGGCAUUAAAGAUUUUUUAUGCAGAAAUACUGUACUAGUAAAAAGUUUGGAAACACUCAUUAGUUUUACUGUUUUCCACAUUGUAGAAUAAUAGUGAAGACAACUAUGAAAUAACACAUGGAAUCAUGUAGCAACCAAAAAAGUGUUAAACAGAUCUUAAUACAUUUCAUAUUCUAGAUUCUUUAAAAUAGCCACCCUUUGCCUUGACGACAGCUUCGCAAAAUGUUGGUAUUCUCUCAACCAGCUUUAUGAGGUAGUCACAUUGAUUGCAUUUUAAUUAACAGGUGUGCCAUGUUAAAAGUUAAUUUGUGGAAUUUCUUUCUUAAUGUGUUUGAGCCAGUCGUUUGUGUUGUGACUAGGUAGGUUUUGUAUACAUUUUGUCUGUACUCUUGUAGUCCAUAUUAUGGCAAGAACAGCUCAAAUAAGCAAAGAGAAACGACAGUCCAUCAUUACUUUGAGACAGGAAGGUCAGUCAAUACGGAAAAUUUCAAGAACUUUGAACGUUUCUUCAAGUGCAGUCGCAAAAACCAUCAAGCGCUGUGAUGAAACUGGCUCUCAUGAGGACCGCCACAGGAAAGGAAGACCCAGAGUUACCUCUGCUGCAGAGGAUAAGUUAAUUCGAGCUACCAGCCUUAGAAAUCGCCAAUUAACUGCACCUCAGAUUGCUGCCAAAAUCAAUGCUUCACAGAGUUCAAGUAAUAGACACAUCUCAUCGUCCACAGUUCAGAGGAGACUGCGUGAAUCAGGCCUUCAUGGUCAAAUUGCUGCAAAUAAACCACUCCUGAAGGACACCAGUGAGAAGAAGAAACUUGCUUGGACCAAGAAAAACAAGAAAUUGACAGAUGCACAAGAAAUUGACUCCUUGCAUGCACUGCAUGUUUGAAAGCUUAGAUUUUCUAUUAUAAUAUAAAAGUGUGGGGACUGAGACAGUGAUUCCAAAACUUUUGUCCCCUUUUCUUGUAAAUAUUUAAUGGUUGAUUUUGAGGUAUGUUUUGGAUUAUUGUCUUGAUAAAACGUCCAACCUCUUCAGCUUUAGUUUCAUGAAUGUUAUACAUUAGUGUAGGAUUUGUAGAUAUUCAGUUCGAUCCAUACUUUACUGUACACCCUUACAAUAUUACUAGUUACACUGGGUGCCAUACAAUCCCUAAGCAUAAUAGAGCUACCCCCAUGCUUAACAGUUGGCAAGGUGUUCUUUUCUUGAAAGGUUUUACACUUUUUUCUCCUAAUAUUUCUUCUUUGGUUAUGGUUAAACAAUUUUAAAAAAAUGAAUCCCUCCAAAGUUAAUUCUUCCAAAGAUUCUGGCUUGUCAAUGUAUUUUGUGUGCCUACUUUAGGUGCUAAGGUUUAUGAUUAGAUUUUAGAAAAAUCUACCUUCUGAGAACUCUCCCAUUCCUGUCCCUGUUGUGUAAGGUAUAGUAUGCUGCAUUGUGGACCUGAAGACUACUCUAUUGUAUUAAACUUCGAUCCACAGAAA